rnacentral:lncRNA from 1 species
AACAGCAACGGAAAUAACGAAAAUAACUGAAAUAAUGAAAAUAACGGAAGUAAGGAAAAUAACGGAAAUAACAGAAAUAAAGGAAAUAACCUCCACAGAGACAGAAACAUAUGGCAGAAAAGUAGGUGACAGGUCAAUAACAACAACGGAAAUAACGGAAAUAACAGAAAUAACGGAAAUAACCACCACAAAGUUGGAAACAUAUGGCAGAAAAUUAGGUGAAAGGUCAAGAACAACAACAAAAAUAACGGAAAUAACGGAAAUAACGGAAAUAACCUCCAGAGAGACAGAAAUACACAGCAGAAAGUUACGUGACAGGUCAAGAACAACAACGGAAAUAACGGAAAGAACGGAAAGAACCACCAGAGAGACAGAAACAGACGGCAGAAAACUAGGUGACAGGUCAAGAACAACAACAGAAAUAAUGGAAUUAAUGGAAAUAACGGAAAUAGCGGAAAUAAAAAUGGACAUAACGGAAAUAAUAACGGAAAUAACGGAAAUAAUAACAGAAAUAACGGAAAUAACGGAAAUAACGGAAAUAACUGAAAUAAUCUCCACAAAGUUGGAAACAUACGGCAGAAAAUUCCGUGAAAGGUCAAGAACAACAAAGGAAAUAAUAACGGAAAGAUCGGAGAGAACCUCCGGAGAGACAGAAACAAACGGCAGAAAAUUAGGUGACAGGUCAAGAAGAUGAACGGAAAUAAUGGAAAUAAUGGAAAUAACGGAAAUAAUAGAAAAAACGGAAAUAACGGAAAUAGCGGAAAUAGCGGAAAUAGCGGACAUAACCUCCACAGAGACAGAAACAUACGGCAGAAAAUUAGGUGACAGGGCAAAAACAACAACGGAAAUAACGGAAAUAACGGAUAUAAAGGAAAUAACAAAAAAAACGGAAAUAGCGGAAAUAACAGAAAUAACGGAAAAAAACGAAAUAACGGAAAUAACGUCCACAGAAACAGAAACAUACGGCAGAAAAUUACGUGACAGGAAAAGAUCAACAACGUAAAUAACGGAAAUAAAGGAAAUAGUGGAAAUAGUGUAAAUAACGGAAAUAACGGAAAUAACCUCCACAGAGACAGAAUCAUACGGCAGAAAAUUAGGUGACAGGUCAAAAAUAACAACGGAAAUAAUGGAAAUAACGGAAAUAACGGAAAUAACGGAAGUAACGGAAAUAACGGAAAUAACCUCCACAGAGACAGAAACUUACGGCAGAAAAUUACGUGACAGGACAAGAACAAAAACGGAAAUAACAGAAAAAAACAAAAUAACGGAAAUAAUAAUGGAAAUAACGGAAAUAACGAAAAUAAAUACGGAAAUAACGGAAAUAAUAACGGAACCAAAGGAAAGAACCUUCAGAGAGAUGGAAACAUACGGCAGAAAAUUAGGUGACAGGUCAAGAACAACAACAGAAAUAAUGGAAAUAAUGGAAAUAAUAACGGAAAUAAAGGAAAGAACGGAAAUAACGGAAAUAACGGAGAUAACCUUCAGAGAGACAGAAACAUACGCCAGAAAAUUAGGUGACAGGUCAAUAACAAGAACAGAAACAACGGAAACAACAGAAACAACAAAAACAACGGAAACAACGGAAACAACUGAAACAACUGAAACAACGGAAACAACAGAAACAACAAAAACAACGGAAACAACGGAAACAACUGAAACAACUGAAACAACGGAAACAAUGGAAACAACAUUAAACAAUGGAAACAACGGAAAGAACGGAAAAAACCUCCAGUGACACAAAAACAUAGGGCAGAAAAUUAAGUGACAGGUCAAGAACAACAACGAAAAGAACAGAAAAAAAAAAGAAAUAACGGAAAAAAUAACGGAAAAAAUGGAAAUAACAGAAAUAAUAACAGAAAUAAUAACGGAAAGAACGGAAAUAAUAACGGAAAUAACGGAAAUAAUAACAGAAUAACAAAAAUAACAGAAGUAAAAACAGAAAUAACGGAAAUAACAAAAAUAAUAACAGAAAGAACGGCAAGAACCGCCAGAGAGACAGAAACAUAAGGCAGAAAAAUAGGUGACAGGUCAAGAACAACAACGGAAAUAAAUAAAAAAAACGAAAUAAUGGAAAUAAUAACGGAAAUAAUGGAAAUAAUAUUGGAAAUCAUGGAAAGAAUGGAAAGAACGGAAAGAACCUCCAGAGAGACAGAAACAUACGGCAGAAAAUCAGGCGACAGGUCAAGAACAAGAACAGAAUUACAAGAAAAAAACGAAAUAACGGAAAUAAUAACGGAAAUAACAGAAAAAGCAACGGAAAUAGUAACAGAAAAAAAUAACGGUAAUAAUAACGGAAAGAAUGGAAAGAACGGAAAGAACCUCCAGAGAGACAGAAACACACAGCAGAAAAUUAGGUGACAGGUCAAGAACAACAACAGAAAUAACGGAAACAACGGAAACAAUUAAAACAACGGAAACAACGGAAAUAACCUCCAGAGAGACAGAAACAUAUGGCAGAAAAUUAGGUGACAGGUCUGGAAAAACAACGGAAAUAACGGAAAUAACGGAAAUAACCUCCAGAGAGACAGAAACAUACGGCAGAAAAUUAAGUGACAGAUCAAGAAAAACAACGGAAAUAACUGAAAGAUCGGAAAUAACGGAAAUAACAGAAAUAACAGAAAUUACCUCCGAAGGACAGAAACAUACAGCUGAAAAUUAAAUGACAGGUCAAGAAUAACAACGGAAAGGACAGAAAAAACGGAAAUAACCUCCAGAGAGACAGAAAUAUACGGCAAAAAAUUAGGUGACAGGUCAAGAACAACAACGGAAAUAAUAGAAAUAAUGAUAAUAAUGGAAAAAAACGGAAGGAACCUCCACCAAGACAGAAACAUACAGCAGAAAAUUAGGUGACUGGUCAAGAACAACAAUGGAAAUAACGGAAAUGACGGUAGUAACGGAAAUAACCUCCAAAAGACAGUAACAUACGGCAGAAAAUUAAGUGACAGGUCAAGAACAACAACGGAAAUGACGGAAAUAACAGAAAUAACAGAAAUAACCUUUGAAAGACAGAAACAUAAGGCAGAAUACUAGGUGAG